GAUGAACGCUGGCGGCGUGCCUAAUACAUGCAAGUCGAGCGAACAGACGAGGAGCUUGCUCCUCUGACGUUAGCGGCGGACGGGUGAGUAACACGUGGAUAACCUACCUAUAAGACUGGGAUAACUUCGGGAAACCGGAGCUAAUACCGGAUAACAUGUUGAACCGCAUGGUUUAACAGUGAAAGACGGUCUUGCUGUCACUUAUAGAUGGAUCCGCGCCGCAUUAGCUAGUUGGUAAGGUAACGGCUUACCAAGGCAACGAUGCGUAGCCGACCUGAGAGGGAGAACGGCCCCACUGAAACUGAGACACGGUCAAGACGCCGAAGGGAGGAAGAAAUAGGGAAUCUUCCGCAAUGGGCGAAGGCCUGUCGGAGCAACGACGCGUGAGUGAAGAAGGUCUUCGGAUCUUAAAACUCUGUUAUUAGGGAAGAACAAAUGUGUAAGUAACUAUGCACGUCUUGACGGUACCUAAUCAGAAGGCCACGGCUAACUACGUG
rnacentral:rRNA from 1 species